rnacentral:miRNA from 1 species
UAUAACUUCAUUGGAAGCUAAG